rnacentral:piRNA from 1 species
UAAAUAACUGGUCUGCCUGCUGUCCUUAG